rnacentral:rRNA from 1 species
UACGAAGGGUGCAAGCGUUACUCGGAAUUACUGGGCGUAAAGCGUGCGUAGGGGGUGGUUUAAGUCAGAUGUGAAAGCCCUGGGCUCAACCUGGGAACUGCAUUUGAUACUGGAUCACUAGAGUGCGGUAGAGGAUAGUGGAAUUCCCGGUGUAGCAGUGAAAUGCGUAGAGAUCGGGAGGAACACCAGUGGCGAAGGCGGGUCUCUGGGCCGAUACUGACGCUGAGGAGCGAAAGCGUGGGGAGCGAACAGG